GUGAGUGUUCCUGCUGCCCCGUGGGGUGCUGGGAACAGUACACUGCGGGAUAAAGUGACUGCUCUCUGCUGCCCCGUGGGGUGCUGGAGAUAGCACACUCCUGUGAGGUUAUAUUCGUGUGAGCUAUGUAUAGCAGGAAGAGGGAGGAGCUAGAAGAGAACCUUAAGGUGCAGGACAGAUGAGUAGUUCAGAUACCACUUUGCACAGUGCUGACAUUUUCAUCACUGUCAUGUAGAUUUCUCAGUGCCCCAACCACCUCCAUAUAAGAGAGCUGCUGGACACUGCUUCCCUACCCUUAAACUUCAGUCACUGUCCACUGUAGACCUCUUUCAAGGCAGUGUGGCUUGAUAGGUUCUUGUUUCAAUCUUAGGUUUUUUUCUUUUAUUUCUUGGAGCUACUUUCUUAUUUUCUACUUUGUAUGUUCUUCAAGCUGUAUAGCCUUUUCCACCUUAUUUU
rnacentral:lncRNA from 1 species